rnacentral:rRNA from 1 species
GCCUGUGCCCAUACUGCCCUGAAAACGCUCAGUCUUGUCUUAUCUAAGAAGCUAAGCAGGGUUGAGCCUGGUUAGUACUUGGGUGGGAAGACCACCUGGGAAUACCAGGUGCUGUAGACU